GAUGAACGCUGGCGGCGUGCCUAAUACAUGCAAGUCGAGCGAACAGAUGAGGAGCUUGCUCCUCUGACGUUAGCGGCGGACGGGUGAGUAACACGUGGAUAACCUACCUAUAAGACUGGGAUAACUUCGGGAAACCGGAGCUAAUACCGGAUAAUAUAUUGAACCGCAUGGUUCAAUAGUGAAAGACGGUUUUGCUGUCACUUAUAGAUGGAUCCGCGCCGCAUUAGCUAGUUGGUAAGGUAACGGCUUACCAAGGCAACGAUGCGUAGCCGAACUGAGAGGGUGAUCGGCCACACUGGAACUGUGACACGGUCCAGACUCCUACGGGAGGCAGCAGUAGGGAAUCUUCCGCAAUGGGCGAAAGCCUGACGGAGCAACGCCGCGUGAGUGAUGAAGGUCUUCGGAUCGUAAAACUCUGUUAUUAGGGAAGAACAAAUGUGUAAGUAACUAUGCACGUCUUGACGGUACCUAAUCAGAAAGCCACGGCUAACUACGUG
rnacentral:rRNA from 1 species